rnacentral:rRNA from 1 species
ACGCUCGACACCUACGGGAGGCAGCAGUGGGGAAUAUUGCACAAUGGGGGAAACCCUGAUGCAGCGACGCCGCGUGAAGGAAGAAGUAUCUCGGUAUGUAAACUUCUAUCAGCAGGGAAGAAAGUGACGGUACCUGACUAAGAAGCCCCGGCUAAUUACGUGCCAGCAGCCGGGUAAUCUGAGCGGGCUGGCAAGGC